GUGUCAGCAGCCGCGGUAAGACGGAGGGAGCAAGCGUUGUCCGGAUUUACUGGGCGUAAAGCGCGCGUAGGCGGCCUUUUAAGUCGGCGGUGAAAGCGCUGGGCUCAACUCAGCAAUUGCCGUCGAUACUGAUCGGCUCGAGUCCGGGAGAGGAAAGCGGAAUUCCUGGUGUAGCGGUGGAAUGCGUAGAUAUCAGGAAGAACACCGGUGGCGAAGGCGGCUUUCUGGACCGGCACUGACGCUGAGGCGCGAAAGCUAGGGGAGCGAACGGGAUUAGAUACCCCGGUAGUCCUAGCCGUAAACGAUGGUCACUAGGUGUUGCGGGUAUCGACCCCUGCAGUGCCGAAGCUAACGCAUUAAGUGACCCGCCUGGGGAGUACGGCCGCAAGGCUGAA
rnacentral:rRNA from 1 species